GACGAACGCUGGCGGCGCGCCUAACACAUGCAAGUCGAACGAGGUCUUUUAGGAGCUUGCUUUUGGAAGACCGAGUGGCGGACGGGUGAGUAACACGUGAGCAACCUGCCCUGGAGAGGGGAAUAACGCCUGGAAACGGACGCUAAUACCGCAUAACAUGCGGGGAGGACAUCCUUUCCGCAUCAAAGGAGAAAUCCGCUCUGGGAUGGGCUCGCGCCCGAUUAGGUAGUUGGUGGGGUAACGGCCCACCAAGCCGACGAUCGGUAGCCGGACUGAGAGGUUGAUCGGCCACAUUGGGACUGAGACACGGCCCAGACUCCUGCGGGAGACAGCAGUGGGGGGUAUUGCACAAUGGGGGAAACCCUGAUGCAGCGACGCCGCGUGAGUGAAGAAGUAUUUCGGUAUGUAAAGCUCUAGCAGCAGGGAAGAAAAUGACGGUACCUGACUAAGAAGCCCCGGCUAACUACGUGCCAGCCGCCGCCGUAAGAC
rnacentral:rRNA from 1 species